GCCGAGCUCUCAGCCUCGACCGACGGCUCAUCCGUCAACAGCGAGUGUGAACGAGCGAUUCCGGGUGACAGAGAAAACAACCAGGCUUGUGUUAGCGGCAGCUGCAACGACCCGGCGGAUGUUAUUCUUAGACCGCUCUCAUUUACUGCUCAGAAUGGUGCUGGAAACAAGUGCCCCAUCAUAAUAAGCAGAGAAAAGAAACGGACAAGUGCCUGUGAUAGAGAGGAUGGAGGUGGAUGUUGGCGGUGCGGGGCUCAGGGUGCCAGAGGGUAAUCAAGACAAUGAGGCCACAAUCACAAAGGAAGAUGUGCCAGUGUGAUUGGCACCGCAAGAACAGAAACAUCUGAAGAUGACGAGAUCUCAUUUCACAGGCAUAGACAGUGAAUGAUGAGCGACCCUUCAGCUGAUUUGGGCUAGAAGUUCCUCCGCUGUUUUAUGUUAUGGAAAAUGUUGUACUAUAUAAUGUUGAAAUAUAACAUUUGAUGUAGCAUUUAUUGCUAGAUUGUAACAUAUUUAGAGAUUCAGCAUGUACAGAUGAUGCAUCAAUAUAUUAUUAAAGGAAAGAAAUAAAAAC